rnacentral:rRNA from 1 species
AUUGAACGCUGGCGGCAGGCCUAACACAUGCAAGUCGAGCGGAGCGGCGGAAGGGUGAGUAAUGCCUAGGAAUCUGCCUGGUAGUGGGGGAUAACGUCCGGAAACAGGCGCUAAUACCGCAUACUAUCAGAUGAGCCUAGGGCGGAUUAGCUAGUUGUUUGGGUAACGGCCUACAAAGGCGACGAUCCGUCACUGUUCUGAGAGGAUGAUCAGUAACACUGAAACUGAGAUACGGUCCAGACUCCUACGGGAGGCAGCAGUGGGGAAUAUUGGACACUGGGCGAAAGCCUGAUCCAGCCAUGCCGCGUGUGUGAAUAAGGUCUUCGGAUUGGAAAGCACUUUAAGUUGGGAGGCGUUACCAACAGAAUAAGCACCGGCUAACUUCGUGCCAGCAGCCGCGGUAAUAC